rnacentral:rRNA from 1 species
CUACCAUCUCCGACCUCAGAUCGGACGAGAUUACCCGCUGAAUUUAAGCAUAUAACUAAGCGGAGGAAAAGAAACUAACAAGGAUUUCCCCAGUAACGGCGAGUGAAGCGGAAAUAGCCCAGCACCGAAUCCCUCAGUGUCACGCUGACGGGAACUGUGGUGUAUGGGACGCCACCAGUCGCAUCAGUGGGCACCGAAGUCCUCCUGAUCGAGGCUUCACCCAGAGCGGGUGUAAGGCCUUUGCAGGUGCCCUACUGUGCGGCCGCGAGCGUCUCAGGAGUCGGGUUGUUUGGGAAUGCAGCCCAAAGCGGGUGGUAACUCCAUCUAA